ACUGAGUGAAGUCGGGGUAGAAAGAAGCAGAACCAGUCAGACAGUGUACAAUAGAAGAAUAUUCAGCUCUUGCACCACUUGGGGGAAGGUAACGACUUUGAACCUUUCACUUCCAUUUUCCGGAGGGAAUCUAGAAAGAACCUAGCAUGGGCGAGGCGUCACAUUGGGACGCCAUCUAAUGUACAUGCCUGUCUCCCUCCAGUCCUGGCAGGGCUCUAGGGGUCCAGGAUCAGCCAGUCUGCAGUAGAGGUGAGAGAGUGAUCACAGCGGGUAGAGGCCGUCAAGCCAGGUGGGCGCCCUGGACUCUAGGGCUCCAGCAGCAGGGAGGACCGCAGGGGGCGCUGCGCGUGGCAAGUGCAGGCACCUGCCAUAAGACCCCGCGUGCUGACGAGAUACUCCGCCCUGCGGUGGGAGGGAGGGCUGGUGAGCGUUGGCCUUCGGCCUUCGUCUCCCAACGCCCCGGGGCGAGGCUGGACUUUCCACAGUUAGCUGGACGAGGGGAGUCUUGAGAAAUGGCGUUUUGUUGUAACCGGGUGUGUGCCACUCCCCGGCCCUGAACCGAAUGUGCAAGAAAGAUUGGAGGUUGUGAAAUCCAAAUCGGAAGACGCUGCCUCACUGCGGAUACUGUGCCGGCCUUAUCUGUCUGUCCUCCCAGCAUGGUUAAAGGCUGGCUGGCUGCACAAGACCCACAACCUGAAUGGCUACAUCCUUAAUUUCCUCCAAAGAAGACAGAGGACCCUUCCUUACCAGAACCAAUUAGAAAAUUCUAGGGAAACACUGGUUCAUUUACCCACCCCUGCCCCAAGAGAUGCUUAUGAUUGACCUAGGAAGGAGAAAAUCCCUCCUCAAAAGAAGGGGGUGCUAAUCUAGGCUGAUAAUAAAGGUCUCUUUGGGAGCCUCAAAGAAAUUAGUUUUAUUUUCAAGCAUUUUGAGGCUGUUUGGCCCUGGUGACCCCAUAGCCUGAAUUUUCCUGGACAGUUCCAAUUUCAUUAAAUGUAAGUUUUCCUCAAUAAAGAUGAUUUUUAAGUA